UUCUUCUCAUUAACCUAUUUGGGCGGUCAUCCCCCAUUUAGACGCGCGUCUUUCACCUUUACAUCUUCCACCUUUACAUCUUUGUUCUAAUCAGCCUCAAAAAGAGAAAACAAGGACUGGCAGAAACGGGGGCCACCCCUGGUGGCGGAGCCACGACGGUGGCCGGUUUCUUUAAAUCUUAGAAAGAGUGAGGGCUGGCAGAAGCGGGGCCGCCCCUGGUGGCGGAGCCACGACGGUGGCCGGUUUCUUUAAAUCUCAUAGAGUGUAGGGGUGACCGGCGCCGUCCCUGGUGGCGGAGCCACGACAGAUUAAAAGGCAUUGGCCUCACGCACUUAACAUAGAUUCUGAUUCCUGUUGGUAAGGUGUUUGUUUUCGUCGUUUGCUCUGAUUGACCAAGUUGGGCGGUCAUCCCCUUUUAAUACGUCUGUCUUCCAUCCUCACACCCUUGUUCCGAUUAACCUACUUGAGGUGCGGUGGGUCUUGCCGACCACUGGUCUUCCUCCAGUUGUUGACAGUGGUUUGUCACGGAACGGUAGAAGUCUGUGUUCAUUAUAUCAUGUUGUGGGUCAUUUGCUGACACCUUAAAAGUCCACAUGAAUUGUGGUCUGGUUGCCAACCACCGCUCCUGGUGGCGGACGGUGAUGAUUGUUUUGGGUGUGUAUAUCACUCAAGUUUUUUUUACCACUUUGUCAUUAAUUUUCUUAUGGGUUCUAGUUUCUUGGUUGUGAUCUUUUUGUGAGCCUACUGCAUCGACAUGAUUAUACUAUAUGUUUAAUGAAUAGUAAAAAAGGGCAUCUUCUUUUUA